rnacentral:rRNA from 1 species
AUUGAACGCUGGCGGAAUGCUUUACACAUGCAAGUCGAACGGCAGCACGGGGCAACCUGGUGGCGAGUGGCGAACGGUGAGUAAUACAUCGGAACGUGCCCAAUCGUGGGGGAUAACGUAGCGAAAGUUACGCUAAUACCGCAUACGAUCUACGGAUGAAAGCGGGGGAUCGCAAGACCUCGCGCGAAUGGAGCGGCCGAUGUCAGAUUAGGUAGUUGGUGGGGUAAAGGCUCACCAAGCCAACGAUCUGUAGCUGGUCUGAGAGGACGACCAGCCACACUGGAACUGAGACACGGUCCAGACUCCUACGGGAGGCAGCAGUGGGGAAUUUUGGACAAUGGGCGCAAGCCUGAUCCAGCCAUUCCGCGUGCAGGAUGAAGGCCUUCGGUUGUAAACUGCUUUGUACGGAACGAAACGGCGAGCUCUAAUACAGUUUGCUAAUGACGGUACCGUAAGAAUAAG